AGCGUCGUUAUUGGAGGGACCUUCAGGGCUUUCUCCAACUCAAGUUUCUACCAAGUUCUUCAAAGAAUAGAGGAGGUAAUUGUGGAGCAGGCCAGUGUCUAUAGAUGCUCAGCAAUGGUGGAUUUCUUUGAAAAAGAAUACACCAUAUACCCACCAACCGUAAAUGAUGAAAGAAUGUAUGAACAUGUGAAGAAAGUGGCAAUUGAUCUUCAUGGUUCACAAAAUUUCAGGCUUGUCCAACCAAUGAUGGGAGCUGAGGACUUUUCCUUCUACUCAGAGUUUGUUCCUGCAGCCUUCUAUUACAUAGGAGUCAGGAAUGAAACUUUAGGCUCGAUCCACACGGGCCACUCCCCCUACUUUAUGAUCGACGAAGACGUCCUCCCGAUCGGUGCUGCAACUCAUGCAACCAUAGCCGAGAGGUACCUGUACGAGCAUGGAGAAUGAGAAG
rnacentral:misc_RNA from 1 species